AGGAGGCAGCAGUGGGGAAUAUUGCCCAAUGGAGGGAACUCUGAGGCAGCAACGCCGCGUGGACGAUGACGGCCUUCGGGUUGUAAAGUCCUUUUCUGUGGGAAGAUGAUGACGGUACCACAGGAAUAAGUCCCGGCUAACUACGUGCCAGCAGCCGCGGUAAAACGUAGGGGGCGAGCGUUAUCCGGAUUUACUGGGCGUAAAGCGCGCGCAGGCGGCUGAUCAAGUUGGACGUGAAAGCUCCCGGCUUAACUGGGAGAGGUCGUUCGAGACUGGUCGGCUAGAGGCCAAGAGAGGAGAGCAGAAUUCCCGGUGUAGUGGUGGAAUGCGUAGAUAUCGGGAGGAAUACCAGUGGCGAAGGCGGCUCUCUGGCUUGGAACUGACGCUGAGGUGCGAAAGCGUGGGGAGCGAACGGGAUUAGAUACCCGUGUAGUC
rnacentral:rRNA from 1 species